CCAUACGACCGUACCGCAAACCGACACUGGUGCGCGAGAUGAGUAUUCUAAGGCGCUUGAGAGAACUCAGGAGAAGGAACUCGGCAAAUUGACACCGUAACUUCGGAAGAAGGUGUGCCCUAUUAGUGUGUAGUGAACAACGAAGCAUGAAUGGGUUGCAAAAAAUCGGUGGCUGCGACUGUUUAUUAAAAACACAGCACUCUGCAAACACGAAAGUGGACGUAUAGGGUGUGACGCCUGCCCGGUGCUGGAAGAUUAAAUGAUGGGGUGCAAGCUCUUGAUUGAAGUCCCAGUAAACGGCGGCCGUAACAAUAACGGUCCUAAGGUAGCGAAAUUCCUUGUCGGGUAAGUUCCGACCUGCACGAAUGGCGUAACGAUGGCCACACUGUCUCCUCCUGAGACUCAGCGAAGUUGAAAUGUUUGUGAUGAUGCAAUCUCCCCGCGGAAAGACGGAAAGACCCCAUGAACCUUUACUGUAGCUUUGUAUUGGACUUUGAACAGAUCUGUGUAGGAUAGGUGGGAGGCUUUGAAGCAGGGUCGCUAGAUCUUGUGGAGCCAGCGUUGAAAUACCACCCUGGUGUGUUUGAGGUUCUAACCUAGGUCCAUUAUCUGGAUCGGGGACAGUGCAUGGUAGGCAGUUUGACUGGGGCGGUCUCCUCCCAAAGCGUAACGGAGGAGUUCGAAGGUACGCUAGUUACGGUCGGACAUCGUGACGAUAGUGCAAUGGCAUAAGCGUGCUUAACUGCGAGACUGACAAGUCGAGCAGAUGCGAAAGCAGGACAUAGUGAUCCGGUGGUUCUGUAUGGAAGGGCCAUCGCUCAACGGAUAAAAGGUACUCUGGAUAACAGGCUGAUACCGCCCAAGAGUUCAUAUCGACGGCGGUGUUUGGCACCUCGAUGUCGGCUCAUCUCAUCCUGGGGCUGUAGCCGGUCCCAAGGGUAUGGCUGUUCGCCAUUUAAAGAGGUACGUGAGCUGGGUUUAAAACGUCGUGAGACAGUUUGGUCCCUAUCUUCCGUGGGCGCUGCAGAUUUGAGGAAGCCUGCUCCUAGUACGAGAGGACCGGAGUGGACACACCUCUGGUGUAUCGGUUGUCACGCCAGUGGCAUUGCCGAGUAGCUAAGUGUGGAAGAGAUAACCGCUGAAAGCAUCUAAGCGGGAAACUCGUUUCAAGAUGAGAUCUGCCGGGGCCUUGAGCCCCCUAAAGAGUCGUUCAAGACCAGGACGUUGAUAGGUCAGGUGUGGAAGC
rnacentral:rRNA from 1 species